CGUAUAAAAGAAUAAAACACAUUUUUAAAUACACCAACAAAAUAUUGCAAUAUUUUUGUGAUUGCAACUCUUUGUAUUUGGGAAUGCCCCCAACGCAACCAUAUUCUUGUGGCUUCUUAAGAUAUGCAAUGUUAUAUAUACAUUUGGUGAAAACCAUCCACGGAGUACCAAACCAUAUGUGGGCGCUAAUAGACGUACAAAAGCUAAUUGAUAUACUAAUUUGUGACC